rnacentral:rRNA from 1 species
GACGAACGCUGGCGGCGUGCUUAACACAUGCAAGUCGAACGGAAAGGCCCUGCUUUUGUGGGGUGCUCGAGUGGCGAACGGGUGAGUAACACGUGAGUAACCUGCCCUUGACUUUGGGAUAACUUCAGGAAACUGGGGCUAAUACCGGAUAGGAGCCCCUGCUGCAUGGAGGGGGUUGGAAAGUUUCGGCGGUUGGGGAUGGACUGGCGGCUUAUCAGCUUGUUGGCGGGGUAGUGGCUUACCAAGGCUUUGACGGGUAGCCGGCCUGAGAGGGUGACCGGCGACAUUGGGACUGAGGUACGGCCCAGACUCCUACGGGAGGCAGAAGUGGGGAAUAUUGCACAAUGGGCGGAAGCCUGAUGCAGCAACGCCGCGUGCGGGAUGACGGCCUUCGGGUUGUAAACCGCUUUCGCCUGUGACGAAGCGUGAGUGACGGUAAUGGGUAAAGAAGCACCGGCUAACUACGUG